CCCGGCAGUGUGUUAGGGGCACCCUGCUUCGUAAGUGAGGCAGACAGCCCGUGAUAAAUGCCAAAGUAGAAGCCCCUCCGAAAACCUAAGGAGCCGAUUGGGCGGGACUAACCCUAAGGAAGGGCAGGGGAAUUGUCCGUCACCUCCGGGCGCCGGGGACUGGGAACGCCGGGUCGGAGCUGGGCAGGCGGAGAGAUCUACCUUGCGGCAUUAAAAAGGAGAAGUCAUCCAUUUGAAAAGAGCCCCUAUCAGAGCAAAAUGGAUUCUGCUAAAAUUGAAGAAAGAACAAACAUAAAAUUUAAGAUGAAGCUUGGGUAGAAGAACGGUAAAAUGACUGAUGCUUUACCCAAAGUUUAUGAGGACAAUGCCCCUAAAGAAAUCAGCAGUUUACAAAUGGAUAACUUGUAAGAAGGGACAAGACGAUGUUGAAGAUGAAGCCUGCAGCAGCAGGUUAUCCACAUCAAUUUGCAAAGAAAAAAAUUAAUCCUGUUUGUGCUCUAACUGGAAAGCUUUGGCCAGACGUGGUGGCACCCCUGUAAUCCCAGCAUUCUGGGAGGCCAAGGUGGGCAGAUCACUUGUGGUCAGGAGUGAUCACCAGCCUGGCCAACAAGGUGAAACCCCAUACCUAAGAAAAAUACAAAAAUUAGUUGGGCGCAGUGCAGGGUGCCUGUAAUCCCAGCUACUCGGGAGGCUGAGGCAGAAGAGUCAUUGGACCUGGAGGCGGAGGUUGCAGUGAGCCAAGAUCAUGCCACUGGCCUGCAGCCUGGGUGACAGAGUCAGACUCUGUCUCAAAAAAAAAAAAAAAGAAAAAGAAAAGGACCAACAAUUAAUGGCAGAAACAACAGCCAACACCAUAUACAUUUCAAUUGGUUCAGCUUACACAAUUCUGACUAAAAAAUUAAAAGUUGAGCAAACUUUCCACUUGAUGGGUGCCAAAACCAGAUCAGCUGCAGACAAGAACAUAGAUUUCAAUGGAAAUUUUAAACAAGUGAGAUCUAUUAGGUUGCUGCAUAUUAAUUGUGGUUUAUGCCAUGGAAUGUCAAAAGCCGCAAUUAUGUUGGCACCAACCAAUAGAUCAUGAAGCAUCUAUUUGGAAAGUGUAAUAGGAGGUAAAACAUGGCUUUCUCAGUAUGACUCUGAAGACAAAGCACAAUCAAAAUAAUGGCUCCGAAGAGGUGGAAGUGGUCCAGUCAAAGUAAAGGUCAUGGCAACAGUUUUGUGAGCUGCUUGAGGAACUUUCCUUGUUGACUUUCUGGAGGGCCGAAGAAAAGUAACACCUGCUUAUUAUGAGAGUGUUCUGAGAAAGCCAAAGCUUUAGUAGCAAAAUGCACAGGAAAGCUUCACCAGAGAGUCCUUUUCCACCACGGCAAUGCUUCUGCUCGUGCCUCUCACCAAACAAGGGCAAUUUUGAGAGUUUCAAUGGGAAACCAUUAGGCAUCCACUUUACAUUUGGGAUUUAGCUCCCUCUGACUCCUUUUUGUUUCCUAAUCUUAAAAAGUCUGUGAAGGGCACGCAUUUCUCUUCAGCUAAUAAUGUAAAAAAGAUUUCAUUGAUGUGGUUAAAUUCCCAGGACCUCCACUUCUUAGGGCAUGGAUGAAAUGGCUAGUAUGUAAUUGUGAGCAAGAGACAAAAGUAAAUAAAUAAAUAAAUGGGAAGUAUCAUUGCUUA